UACGUAGGGUGCGAGCGUUGUCCGGAAUUAUUGGGCGUAAAGAGCUUGUAGGCGGUUUGUCGCGUCUGCUGUGAAAAUCCGGGGCUCAACCCCGGACUUGCAGUGGGUACGGGCAGACUAGAGUGUGGUAGGGGAGACUGGAAUUCCUGGUGUAGCGGUGGAAUGCGCAGAUAUCAGGAGGAACACCGAUGGCGAAGGCAGCUCGCUGGGACGUUACUGACGCUGAGACGCGAAAGCGUGGGGAGCAAACAGG
rnacentral:rRNA from 1 species